GCAAGCGAGACAAGUAGAACAUGAAUUUUAAUGAAUGUUUUGAUGAUUUGGGUGCUAAAAUAGAUGAGAGAUGUCAAUAUUUUGGUUCAAAUGGAUGUUUUAGGUGGUUUUGGACUGUUCCGGAUGGGAGGGGGACCUGGUAUGGACAAAGUCAGCCAGACCAUGAUUGAGCUUAAGGAUUGUGCUGCGGAUGCGGCCUGUGCAGUUCCGGGAGAAAGUCACUGUCUUGGGCAUUGCGGUCUGGUAUCAGGUCUGGAUGAUCCUUGCCUGACUCCGGGUUUGUGUACACCUCAAUCCGACUCCCUGUCCGGUACCAUGGCCGCAGUGGUGCAGCCCUUGUGGACGAUCCAUCGACAUCCUGAAAGGUCAACACUUCACCAAGCUGGGAAAAUUGAUCCUGAUAGUCAUCCCCAGGUAGUGAAAUGAAUGUACACUGAACUACAGAGGAAUCACACCCAAAUGACUUUUCUGACAUUAGUGUGGCCCCUCGGGCAGGAAUUCCUUAGCAAACAUGCUUUUUUGCAUGGGGACUGUGGCAUUUUUGCAAAACUUAAGCUUUCAACGCUGGAUUUUAAAGAGAACACUUAAUAAAAUGAAGCCAACAGGACUUAUUUUAAUGAGAGAGACUAUCUGGAUGAGCAACAAAUGUCACAUUGUGUCGUAAGCUGUUGAAGGAGCGAUUUGCGCCAUUUCAAGUGUUAAUUUUGGGUAGCAGGCUUGUAUCGGCUUGAAAGCUGCAAAUUAUUCCUCUCAUCAUGAUAGCAUUAAUUAUUUUAAUUGCAAUGUGUAUGUUUAGAUUGUAAGUGAAGCUUUUAAUAAUAAUUUUCUUGAAAAACAUGAUUUUAUAUGCUGUCAGUGAGUUUUUUUGUGUGAAAAAAGUGCUUAAAAUAAAAAAAAGUCUCCUUUUUCAUCAAGAAAAGUACACUGAUUCACAAUCAAUACAUUUAUUUGGGCCUUUUGCUGAUAUAUUGGUGAAUUUCGCAUGCAAUGAUCCCAGUUUUUGCCAUAAAAGUUACGCGUAACAAUAAUUAGAGACACAAAAUCAGCUGUCGUCACUUAGACUAAAAAUCAUGCAUUCCGACUUGACUGCGGCCAAUUUAGUCACCGCUUUAAACGGCCAUUUUAAGGCCUUUUCCCCCCUCCGAAUGCACUGAAAUUGCAUAUUCAUUGUGGAAAUAGUUUAAAUCUCAUGUGGAGAAAGUUUGAAAAGGAUAGGACAAAGUUGAGUUCCCUUAAAGGUUACAUUACACUAAAUCAUUGUGUAUCCCUCCGUGGUCCAUUCGAAAGUAGUGCCUAUUUCUAAAGAGUUCCUUUUCUCUUCUUGAAUAUAAGCCAUUUAACAAUGUGAGACAUGUCUUUUGUGGUUAUUUGUAAUAUCCUGUAUGUGUCUGGAGUACUUUGAUGCCUUGGAUUGGAAGCUAACUUAAAAGAUGGACUUUUGAGGGUGUGUUUUCUAUUGUGUGGGGCUUUUGUCGAAAUUAGGAUUCCGAAACACGUUUUUCAACGGUGGGUUCAUUCGACAGCGAUUUACUUUCUUAGAAGUUGCGAGACGGUAUGUUUUUGAUUGCAAUUAUUGGAAGAGGACAGAUCCAUCUUUAAAAUGAUACCAGGUUCGGAAAAAUUGAUACGUCGAAAAGGCAAGAAAAAUGCUGUGAAAGUUGUCAGUUUUAUAAUGGGACCCUAUGGGAAUCGGAAUUAGUGUAAUAUAACCUUAAAAAAGCACAUUUACUGCAAUGUCAAGGUCACAUUGAUUCGUCUGCAAUCGAGACAAGUAGAACAUGAAUUUUAAUGAAUGUUUUGAUGAUUUGGGUGCUAAAAUAGAUGAGAGAUGUCAAUAUUUUGGUUCAAAUGGAUGUUUUAGGUGGUUUUGGACUGUUCCGGAUGGGAGGGGGACCUGGUAUGGACAAGUAAGGGUUACAUUUCCAACAAAUCUUGAAUGUAAAUAUUAUUAUGUCCAAAGAUUGAAGUUUCAGGUGGAGAGCAAGAUGAAAAAUAUGCCAAAUCACAUGAAUGCAACCCAUUUAUGCCAUUUUUCUCUUUGUUUGUAGGCCUGACCAUUUGUCCCUUUUGCCGCAGACGGUCAACAAUCCGCUAGCUGUCUUGCUCUGACUGGUGCACUGGACAUGAUUUCAAUGAGAGUCAUCAUACUGAUUGUUUAAUUCAAACAUGAAUUUCAGUUUGUUCGUUAGAGUACUAACUUAGCUGUGUAUUUACAGUGGACGUAGUGGUGCGUCGCAUGCGGUAGACUAGGUAUUUCCAUAUAUACACUAUGUUUACAGAAUUGCGGCCGGUGAAGCAACAUAGCUGAUGAGUAAAUAGCGCUAGUUCUUCAGACAAAUAACUUUAUUUUCAACCUAUAAAGCAUAUUUAGCUGUAGGUGGGGCCAUUUAGCUGUAAGAUCUGGCUUUGGUUCUGUUAAGCCCUUAGAGUAAUGAAUUUCAGAGUGAAGACCAUAGCGCCUUUUCCUAGUCGAGUAUCGGGCAGCUGUAUGUCUUUUCAGAAAUGCACAUGUCUUCUUUAGUAUGUCAUUGUGAUUGCUUUUAAGAUAGGCAAUAAACUCAUAACCUUUAGAAAAAGGAGCAUCUGUAAAUUCAGAUUUCACUAUUUCAGAGUCAGCCAGACCAUGAUUGAGCUUAAGGAUUGUGCUGCGGAUGCGGCCUGUGCAGUUCCGGGAGAAAGUCACUGUCUUGGGCAUUGCGGUCUGGUAUCAGGUCUGGAUGAUCCUUGCCUGACUCCGGGUUUGUGUACACCUCAAUCCGACUCCCUGUCCGGUACCAUGGCCGCAGUGGUGCAGCCCUUGUGGACGAUCCAUCGACAUCCUGAAAGGUCAACACUUCACCAAGCUGGGAAAAUUGAUCCUGAUAGUCAUCCCCAGGUAGUGAAAUGAAUGUACACUGAACUACAGAGGAAUCACACCCAAAUGACUUUUCUGACAUUAGUGUGGCCCCUCGGGCAGGAAUUCCUUAGCAAACAUGCUUUUUUGCAUGGGGACUGUGGCAUUUUUGCAAAACUUAAGCUUUCAACGCUGGAUUUUAAAGAGAACACUUAAUAAAAUGAAGCCAACAGGACUUAUUUUAAUGAGAGAGACUAUCUGGAUGAGCAACAAAUGUCACAUUGUGUCGUAAGCUGUUGAAGGAGCGAUUUGCGCCAUUUCAAGUGUUAAUUUUGGGUAGCAGGCUUGUAUCGGCUUGAAAGCUGCAAAUUAUUCCUCUCAUCAUGAUAGCAUUAAUUAUUUUAAUUGCAAUGUGUAUGUUUAGAUUGUAAGUGAAGCUUUUAAUAAUAAUUUUCUUGAAAAACAUGA